rnacentral:rRNA from 1 species
GUGCCAGCAGCCGCGGUAAUACAGAGGGUGCGAGCGUUGUUCGGAAUUACUGGGCGUAAAGCGCGCGCAGGCGGCUCUUUAAGUCCGACGGUGAAAUGCCGGGGCUCAACCCCGUGCCCGCCGCGGAUACUGGGGAGCUGGAGACGAGUAGAGGCAAGCGGAAUUCCGGGUGUAGCGGUGGAAUGCGUAGAGAUCCGGAAGAACACCGGAGGCGAAGGCGGCUUGCUGGGCUCGGUCUGACGCUGAGGCGCGAAAGCGUGGGGAGCGAACAGGAUUAGAUACCCUGGUAGUCC